rnacentral:rRNA from 1 species
GGACGCAGNUCUGAUCCAGCCAUCCCGCGUGAAGGAUUAAGGCCCUAUGGGUUGUAAACUUCUUUUCUUUGGGAAUAAAAAGCGGUAUUCAUAUCGCCUUGAAGGUACCAGAGGAAUAAGCACCGGCUAACUCCGUGCCAGCAGCCGCGGUAAUACGGAGGGUGCAAGCGUUAUCCGGAUUCACUGGGUUUAAAGGGUGCGUAGGUGGUCUGAUAAGUCAGCGGUGAAAGCCUGGAGCUCAACUCCAGAAUUGCCAUUGAUACUGUCGGACUUGAAUCAAGUUGAGGUGGAUGGAAUAUUACAUGUAGCGGUGAAAUGCUUAGAUAUGUAAUAGAACACCAAUUGCGAAGGCAGUUCACUAAGCUUGCAUUGACACUGAGGCACGAAAGCGUGGGGAUCAAACAGGAUUAGAUACCCUGGUAGUCCACGCCCUAAACGAUGCAAACUCGACAUUAGCGAUAUACAGUUAGUGUCCAAGCGAAAGCGUUAAGUUUGCCACCUGGGAAGUACGACCGCAAGGUUGAAACUCAAAAGAAUUGACGGA